rnacentral:rRNA from 1 species
UGCGUAGGCGGUCGGGAAAGUUUGAUGUGAAAGCUCCGAGCUCAACUUGGAAAAUGCAUUGAAAACUAUCCGACUAGAGGAUUGUAUGGGAGACUGGAAUUCUCGGUGUAGCAGUGAAAUGCGUAGAUAUCGAGAGGAACACCAGUGGCGAAGGCGAGUCUCUGGACAAUUCCUGACGCUGAGGCACGAAAGCUAGGGGAGCAAACA